CAUUGUUGUUGACAUUUUAAGCCUGAGCUCAUCUGAUCUCAGAAGCUAAGCAAGGCUGGGCCUGGUUAGUACUAUGAUGGGAGACUGCUGGAAAAUCAGCACAUUGCAGCGC
rnacentral:rRNA from 1 species